GACGAACGCUGGCGGCGUGCUUAACACAUGCAAGUCGAGCGGAAAGGCCCUUUCGGGGGUACUCGAGCGGCGAACGGGUGAGUAACACGUGAGUAAAUCUGCCCUUGGCUUUGGGAUAACUACCGGAAACGGUGGCUAAUACCGGAUACGACCACUCCUUGCAUGAGGUGGUGGUGGAAAGUUUUUUCGGCCAGGGAUGUGCUCGCGGCCUAUCAGCUUGUUGGUGGGGUAAUGGCCUACCAAGGCUUCGACGGGUAGCCGGCCUGAGAGGGUGACCGGCCACACUGGGACUGAGACACGGCCCAGACUCCUACGGGAGGCAGCAGUGGGGAAUAUUGGACAAUGGGCGGAAGCCUGAUCCAGCAACGCCGCGUGAGGGAUGACGGCCUGG
rnacentral:rRNA from 1 species